AAGAAAUCCAAAGCAGCAAGAAGUUGGGAUUUGACGUUGAAAUUUUUGUCAUCAAGUUCCCAACUGAGGAAGUAGGGUUGCCUCAAGGAUGUGAAAAUGCUAACCUAGCUACCACCCGUGAGAUGAAGGAAAAGUUCAUCAAAGCCACCUUCCUUCUUCAACCACAAAUUGAGCAGAUUUUAGACGAACACCGCCCUCAUUGCCUUGUUGCAGACGUUUUCUUUCCUUGGGCAACUGAUGUUGCUGCCAAGUUUGGUGUUCCAAGGAUCAUAUUUCAUGGCAUCGGUUUUUUCGCUAUGUGUGCAUCUCUUAGUGUGGCGUUGUACGAGCCUCACGCGAAGCUGUCUUCUGAUUCAGAAGUUUUUACUAUUCCUAAUUUUCCAGUUGAGAUCAAGCUGACAAGAAGCCAAGUGCCGACUUUUCCCAAGCAUAGUUCUGAAUUCACCAAGUUGUUUAAAGAGGCGAGGGAGAUCGAGGAAAAGAGCUAUGGGUUCAUUGUUAACAGCUUUUAUGAACUUGAACCGGCUUUUGCAGAUCAUUACAGGACAGUGUUUGGGAGGAAGGCAUGGCAUAUAGGCCCGCUUUCGUCAGUCAAUAAGGCAGCAGAUGACGAAGCCUCCCUUGAUCAGCACGAGUGCUUGAAUUGGCUUAAUUCUAAGAAACCCAAUUCAGUUGUUUACAUAUGUUUCGGAAGUACAACCAAUUUCAUUGACUCUCAGCUCCUAGAAAUUGCAGCGGGGCUUGAGGCUUCUGGGCAGGAGUUCAUUUGGGUUGUGAAGAGAGAAAAGAAUGAUAAAGAAGAGUGGCUCCCCGAAGGGUUUGAGAAGAGAAUGGAAGGUAAAGGACUAAUUAUAAGAGGUUGGGCUCCGCAAGUGCCGAUUCUUGAGCACCAAGCAAUCGGAGCCUUCGUGACUCAUUGUGGGUGGAACUCUAUCCUUGAAGGAGUGUCUGCUGGGGUGCCAAUGAUCACAUGGCCCGUGUCGGCUGAGCAGUUUUACAAUGAGAAGUUGGUGACUGAGGUACUGAAAACCGGGGUUGCUGUUGGUGUUAAACAAUGGGGUACAGUUCUAGAUGUGAAGGAAGACAGUGUGAAGAAGGAAACCGUAGAAAAGGCUGUAAAUCAAGUGAUGGUGAGUGAAGAAGCAGAGGGAAUGAUGGGCAGAGCCAGGGUACUUAGAGAAAUGGCAACGAGGGCUGUUGAAGAAGGUGGUUCAUCUUUCUCAGAUUUAACUUCUCUAAUUCAGGAAUUGGGGUCCCUUGGGGCAUGAACUACUUUCUGCCAAAAUUCCAUCACUUUUUGCGUUUGUAUGUGUUUUUUUUUUUUUUUUGGGCAUCUAUGCGGAAAACUUCGAAUUAAUAGCAAAUGAAAGAAAAAGAGUAUAUUUUUUUUUAUACAAACGAUAUUGUGGUAGGGAAAUCAAAUUCAAAGAAUAUUAUCAUAGAUUCAUAACAUGGUGGAUUAAUUCCAUAAGUCAAAGUAUGUUUUCUCCUAAAAAAUCAAAGCAAAAAAUGAUCCAAACGAAUCAUUUCUUCAAGACUGAAAGUAAAUACUAUGUUUUUAUAAGCUCCACCAGCCUUUCCCGUCCCAAAUUAGGGUGGAAGAAAUUAAAAAAAAAAAUCAUUGAUGUAAAAAGAUUUAGACUACAAAAUUUCAAAGAUCAAUUUUGUCAAAUUUGAUAGACUAAAUUAUUGUAUCCCAUGACAUUGUGAGGUUAAGCCCACCAUCUCUCUUUAGUGUAGAUAAUAUCGUUUGUUUAAAAAAUAAAAUAAUUGUAUCCCAUGGAAAAUAGAAGUCUAAAAACAUUUUUUUUAAGCUCAGUAUGCUUGUCUAUCAAGUUACAAGUACUGAUAUAUACCAACUCUAUCAUCCAGUUUCUUCGGUUAAUCUUUUGAAGGUUGUUUACUAAUUUGUUUGAAAUCGGGUUAAGAGUGAUGAUGAUUUCAUAUAAGUUGCUUACAAAUUCAAUCAUGAAUUGGAAUAGAAAUCAAUUGAUUACUAAACUAUCCUUGGUCUAAAUAAAUUAUUUUAAGUGAUAAUUAAGAAAAUUGUUGUGGUAUGAAUUUACUGAGGGAAAAGAGAGGGAAAAGUGAUUGUAGUACUAGAUUGUCGUGACCCAGUAGAGAGAAAAGUGAUUUACACCUUGUCUGGAGUAUUGACCUUGUCAGGGGAUUCCAACAGGGCAAGGAAGGCCUAUGUCUGGGUGUCAUGUUCGGCAGUGUCAUAUUCCUACUCUGUUGGGACUACGGACCGACCAGUGAAGACGGAAAGAUUAUUGGGAUAGCCUAUUGUGUUCAACGAAGAAGAUGGGUUUGGAGUCCUGCAACCCUAUGAUGACUCCCUGGGCAUCUCGACCGAGAUCGCCAAUUGUGAGGUCACUCGGGUAUUCAUCAACAAUGGUAGAUCGACGAACAUGAUUUUUCUCUCCUCGUUUGAUCAUCUAGGGGUCAAUCGGGAUCUCUUGUGGAGGAAUGUGGCUCCACUUGUAGCUUUCAAAGAUAGUUUGAUACACCCAAUUGGGGAGAUGAGAUGAAUGUCACUCUAUCCAUUGGGAGCCACCUCAAGAGAGCAAGCCUGAUGACCAGAUUUAUAAUUGUAGAUUGCCCCUCAUCCUACAAUGUGAUACUAAGACGACCAUUUCUUACGGAAAUGGCUGUCACAAUCAACUCGAGGAUGCUAGUGAUGAAGUUUCCGACUCCGAUAGGGGUAGGAACUGUCAUAGGUGAUCAAACAUCGGCGAGAGUAUGUUAUGCCUCAGUAGUAAAGGUAAAGACCAAAGUGGCGACCGAGCAUUUUGUGAGAACGCUCGGAGGAUCACCUGCACCAGGCCCCAGUAGUUGUUGAACGAUCCGACUGCUUUACCGAGUCGGACGCUCGACCCCGAAGUACUACCUGGCAAUGAAAGCGCGGUGAUUUGCAGGGGAAGACCCAGUUUGAAGCGUGCAAGUUCGAGCAGUUAGGAAUACUUAUCAAUAACAAAACUUUACAAGUAAAGAUUCUCACUAGCCUGUAUGGAGAAUAACACCCCAGGAGGAGGGACAAAUCCUUAAAGGAAGUUCCAGAGAUUUUUUUGUGGCGACCAUGAUAUGAUACUAAGUGCUCGGAAUAGGGGACGACACAGCUUUCCAUUAUUCCACCCAUAAAAAAAUGAUAAAAAUGAAAUAUAUAUUUAUGUGGCUAUCUUCAAGGGAGGAGGAUUUUCUCCCCUCCUAAUCUCUCUCUCUUUCCAUCCCUUCCUAUUUGAACGGUUACGGUUUAGCUACGUCAACAUCUUAUAUUGAUUUUUUUAUAGAGACAAUAAGACAAAAAACAAUGUGAGAGGAGAGGAGAGAAUCCUACUCCAUCUUCAAGUGGCAUGUUUGGAAAAAGUUUAUUACAAUGUUUAUGUUUUCUAUAUUCUAUUAUUAAAAUGUACUAUCAAGAAAAUUUUAUUUAAAAGAAAGACCAUAUUAACAUAUUAUAAUAAAUAGUUCGAAACAGAUUGAGUUCACUAUUGAAUUUGAACUUUUUUUACACUUGCUCAAGCUUGGCACGUACGAGAAGCAAGUUAAACUUAAACAUAAUGGUGCUUUUCGGUUUGAGUCAACUCAUUUACAAUUCUAUAUCCAUUCGACUUUAUCAAAUAUAGGACUAAAGCUUGUUUUAUUUAUUUAUUAUUAGUCGAUUUUCAUGCUGCGUCGUUUAAGAAUUCAAUCACCAGAGAUACAAACUUUUAAUAGAUCUUAAUCACCAAAUACCUUGGUAAUCUUCUUUUUAGGGAAAUAUAAGGGCUUAAAUUAAAGAGCUAGGGUGGCUACGAUAGAACCCGACAAUGAGUUUACGAAGGCUUCGAGUAGUGUGGGAGAGGCUAAUCACUAGACUGCUCUGGAAUAGGUGAAUCGUUGUGUCAUUUUGGGGUACGGUCAGUUCACCGGGAGGAUCACCCUCCCAAUUCGAAGUUUUUUCCUGUAAGUUUCAACCUUGUUGACUAUGACAACAGUCACGACUAUAAAUAAAUUCGUGACUAUGGCAGGACGGUACGCUCUACUCAUGUCACAUCACCAUUCCUAGAUAAGGGCAAUGGAAUGAGAAAUUUAUGAUUGAGACGGGAACAUGGGUGAUACACCACGUGUUUUUAUGUAACUAGUGAAUUUUUUUAUUUUUUAAGUUAUUAACUUUUUAACACAUAUGUUAUACCAUAUAUUGGGCCUCAGUAUUUGGACUUCAUCACUUAGCCCAUGAUUCAUGUAAGAGGGGAGGAAACCCUUAUUCUAUAAAAGGGCUCCCUCACACUCACUAAGGGGGGAUAAGGGAAACAGACAGAGGGGAAAGGGGAGAGUAAACAAAAUAGCAAAGAGAGCAAACACUGCCUCUAUUAGACCUGUAAAUGGGUCAGGUUUAUCGGGUUUGGAUCAUGUUUAAUCUAACCCAUUAAGUUAACAGGUCACCCGAACCUAACCCGUUAAGCUAACGGGUCAUCCGUUUCACACCCGUUAACAUCCGUUAACAAUUAUUAUUAUUAUUAUUAUUUUUUUUGCAUAGAAUUUAUUUUUUGUUGUUAAGACUUUACUGAAAUUACUAAAACAUCCUCAACUAACGAGUGCUAACGGGUUGACCCAAAGUGACCCGUUAUUUAACGGGUUCACCCGUUAGCGACCCGACUCGUUAAGCAUCCACCUAAAUACUAAUAUUAAUGGGUCGGGUCCAAAAUGCCAGGUCUAGCGACUAUAGCCUCCAUGUAUAUUCAACAUUCAUUUACAUAGUGAAACGGAAUCAACACCAGUGUGGACGUAGCCUCAACUUGAGGUGGACCACGAUAUAUCUUUGUGUUCUUGUGCGUUUGUGUGAUUCAUGGUCGAAUUUACGUUGGUCCAAGAUCGACCCGAUUUUGUGCAUCAACAUUUGACGCCAUUAGUGGGAAACGACACGAAAAACUAUGUCGAUUCUCUCUACUUUUUUCAUCUCACCAUCGUGAAACCCUCACAACCUCCACCGUGAAUCUGUAGAAACCCAAGAACCAAACACUUGCACAAUCACUGCAAAACCCAUGUCUUCCGCUCCAGCUCCCGGUCACUGUAGCAGCGAUGGAAACACAACAGAAACUCGCUCUUUUAAUCAAAGGUAUUUUGCUUCCCUCAACAUAAGGUUAUUCUUUCUUUUAUGAAUUGCAGACUAACCAUUCCACAAUUUUUUGCUUGUUGAUUAUUAUGGUGUAUUUUUUUGUUUUAUUUUUGUGUGUAGCCAUCACCACUCAACCUAGAGACGCCAGCGCUGAAAACUGGCCGAAGGCAUUUCUCUAAAACUGCCGCAUAACCAAUGCCUGGAAAACCAACAAAGAAGCUAAGUCUUCUUCUAAUUCACCAACUUGUUUAUUAUUUCAUAUUUUAUUAUUAUGUUUGUCACAUGAGUGCGGCACUCAUAAAACUUUCACUAAUAUAUAUAUAUAUAUAUAUAUAUAUAUAUAUAUAUAUAUAUAUAUAUAUAUAGGUUGUGUGCCCUAUUGUCAUUAUAAUAAGGUUACAUGAUUACUUUUAUGUGCUUAUUAUGUCGGGUCACUUUGCCUUAGAUUCUUACUUUUACUAUUUUAUUAUUAUUAUUGUUUGUGAUGUUUAUCAUUACUUUGAUCACUACCAUAAAACGUGGCAAAGUCUGUACAUCCACUACACCAUUUACAUUAUUGAAUUGUUUUAUCACAUCACAUACCAUUAUCAUUCCUAUCAUUAUUUUAUUAUUAAGUGAUAUUUAUCACAUGAUCAUUAUCAACAACGUGUCAAAGCACAUCACACAGUUUUAUUAUUUAAAGUUGUGGUGAUGUAUCACUGGCUCCUGCACACUGCAUAAUACAUAUAUGUGUGUUUAAAUAUUUUAUUAUAAUGAUGAUAGUCUUUCGGCACAUCACUAUUCCUUUUCCAUGUGACAUAAUCGGACAUCACAUCCCUUCAUUUUGUGGUAUUCACCUCAUAAUUAUCACAUGUAUUGGCUCAUAUUUCACUACCCACAUCACACAUAUUUAUAUAGCCGGUUACUUGUGCAAAUAUUUAUUCAUUGCCUAGUGAUUCAGUGAUUGCCUUUUAACUAUGUCACUUGUGCAACAUGUGAUUUAUCACACAAUUUAAUAAAUUAUUUAUUUGUAGUAGGCACAUGGUACAAUAUUUUGCCUUGCCAAACUAUGUCAAUUUGAUUUAUUCAUUAUACGUUCAUACUUAUACUGUCAUUUAUUGUCAGGAAUUAUUGAGCAGCUAGCUCUAUUGAUCAACAUUCUCAUUGAUUAAAGAAGCCUACCAACUUAUAAACUGAUGAGCCACAUUCUUAUAGUGACAAAGAUUUAGUCUGAAUAGUAAUCUCUUGUCUGACCAGACACCCACUUGCUCGGACACUGGCUCAUUUGGACACCUAUAUGUUUGGACACCCGCGAGCUUGGACACCCAUUAGUUCGGGCACUUACGAGACUGGACACCCUUAAGCUCGAACCCCGACUCACGACCUCAAUUUGUGGACCCAACUCACGGACUCUACGGAUGGCCCCGACUCAAAGGCCCGACUUGUGGACCCAACUCACGGACCCUACGGAUGGCCUCGACUCAAAGACCCGACCUGUGGACCCAAUCCGCGAACCCGCCACAUAGAUCCAAUAUGCGAACCCGACAAGCGGACUCGAGUCAUGUUGAGAGUUAACUCAUAUUGAGUACAGGCUGACGUUGAGUGCAUACUCGCAACGAGGAACGCCACGAGCCAAGCUACCAUGCAACGAGCACCGCCUCCAGCUGAGCAACUGCCUCGCCACGAGCAUUGCCUCUAGCCAAGCAACCUCGCAACGUGUGAUACCUCUAGCUGAGUAUUACUUUACGUUAAGCAUUGCCUCAUGCCAAGUACUGGUUCAGAACAACAUCUAGUCACUUUGGCCCGCACACGGAUUAAAUUUGAAGUCUUCAGCCAAAAGAUUCACCCGACACAUAGACCCAUAUACAAACCUAACAAGCGGAUCAGAAUCAUGUCGAGAAUUAACUCAUAAUGAGCUCACGUUGAUGUCGAGUGCAUACUCUCAAUGAAGAAUGCCACAAGCCGAGUCGCCUUGCAACGAGCACCGCCUCCAGCCGAACAAUCGCCUCGCUGUGAACAUUGCCUCUAGCCAAGCAGCCUCGCAAUGUGUGCUACCUCUAGUUGAGUAUUGCUUCACAUUAAGCACCGUCUCAUGUCGAGUACUAGUUCUGGACGACAUUUAAUCACUUCGGCCCGCACAUGGAUUGGAUUUGAAGUCUCCAGCCAAAAGACUCUCUUGACUGAAGACUUGGGGGAUUCCUGUUAUACCAUAUAUUGGGCCUCAAUAUUUGGGCUUAAUCACUUAGCCCAUGAUUCACCUACAAAAGCUUCACCUACAAAGCUUCAACAAAUGGAGGGCAACUACAUAUGCCAAAAGCUUCAUACACUCUUGAUCAAGAUAGUGUGAAGCAAAAUCAAUUCAUGGUACCCAACAAAGCUUCAACACAAAAACUUCAUCACAAAAGCUUCACCAACAAAAGCUUCAACAAAUGGAGGGCAACUACAAAUGCCAAAAACUUCACACACUCUUGAUCAAGAUAGUGUGAAGCAAAAUCAAUUUAUGGUGUCAACAAAGCUUCACCACAAAGCUUCACCUACAAAGCUUCAACCUUCAAAGCUUCACUACAAAGCUUCAAUACAAAAGUUUCAACUUCAAAGCUUCACCUACAAAGCUUCAACAUCAAAGCUUCACCUACAAAGCUUCAACUCCAAAGCUUCACCUACAAAAGCUUCAACUCCAAAGCUUCACCUACAAAGCUUCAACAUAAAAGCUUCAACUUCAAAGCUUCACCUACAAAGCUUCAACAUCAAAGCUUCACCUACAAAAGUUUCAACUCCAAAGCUUCACCUACAAAGCUUCAAUACAAAAGCUUCAAUACAAAGCUUCAACUCCAAAGCUUCACCUUCAAAGCUUCAACACCAAAGCUUCACCUUCAAAGCUUCAACACCAAAGCUUCACCUACAAAACUUUAAUAUAUAUAUAUAUUUUCGAAAAUUCGAAAAAAAAAUAUCAAAAAUUCAAAAAUUCAAAAAUUCAAAAAAAUUCGAAAAUUCGAAAAUUCGAAAAUUCGAAAAUUAAAAAAAAAAAAAAAAAAAAAAAAAAAGAGCUUAGGCUUACUCUUCUUUGGGCCUAACAACUUUCAUAACAAAUGUACAUGAAAGAGGAGUUUUGAGCUACCACUUAGAAAGGAAAAUGAUGAAGUUUUGUUACUUUGGAAACUUGGCUACUAGUAAGACACCUCAUUAGUCAACUCCAUCGACCGGAGACUUGAGGGACUCCUACCAUAUGCUACUACACCUCGAUACUUGGAAGUUUCAUGACUACUCAGUGACUUGGAUCUUUCAAGUCUCCAACCGAGAAGUUUUCCUCACUUGAGAAAUUAAGGGAGCACUACCUCAACCUACAUGCUUCACUCACAAAGCUUUAACAUACAAGCUUCAACAAAAGAAAAAAUUCAAAGAACAUAGUGAAGGAGGCCUUGGUGUAUUUAACACAAUACGUUGAAAUGAAGCAAAGCUUAUUUAUUGAUAUCUCCGAUAAGUUACAAAUAUGUACAUAUACAUGAAUCAAAAUAAACAAACAAGAGAGAGCCUUCACAAAGGUUGUUCAUGAGAAGUCUCAGCAGUCGGUAGAGCCUUAGAAAGAGGAGGCAUCAGAGGGUGAUCAUUCGAAGCCUCAGUACUGGGAUCCCAGAAGGAGGAGGCACUGAAAGUUGAUCAUUUGAAGCUUCAUUACGCGGUACAACCCCAGAAGACGAAGGCAAUAAAUGCCUUUGGAACAAACCCACAAACCUCUGAUGAUCAAGUAAAAUAUGACCAUCAGAUUCCUGCAGCUGGUCAAGCUUCAUCUUCAUGUUUGUAGCAUAGUCAUGUGCAAGCCUGUGCAAUUGUUUAUUCUCAUGCUUGAGCCCUCUGAUAUCUUGUUUGACAUUUAUCACUUCAGCCGUCAAUGAUUCAACUUGGCAGGUUUGAGCAAAUAGGCGUUGGGCCAUAUUAGACACAGAACCUGCACACUGAACACUAAAAGCCAGAGAAUCCUUAACAGCCAACUCAUCAGACCGUUUGGAAAAUAGUCUGUUAUCUCUGGGAGUGAGAAGGUUCAUGACCAUCACCGCAGCAGUCAUAUCAUUCUUCAUCACAUAGUCUCUAAUGGUAAGAUGACCAGUAGGAGAUAAGAAGGAUGGGCACCAUAUGUUGUCUUGAUGAGACAUGGCUGCCUUUUCACCAAAGUUCAAGUCAAAACGACGGUCGGAUGGGCCAGACAUUUUCAGAAAUGAUGAAGCAAAAAUGAGACCAAUAAAUCUCUGAAGUACAAAAAUUAGGGGAAAAUUCCUACAAACAAUAACUCUCUGAACGUACUUCUUGCACACAAUUGAUGCCCCUAUAAAAGAAAGGGCAACAUGACCGUUUGCAAAAAUCGAAGAGACACCACUCUUCGGAUUUCGAGAAGUGGAUUUUUCUGAGUAAAAUAUGUUGACAAUCUCCACACGUAACAUCUGCUCCUCGGGUACCACAGAUAACUUGGCCAAAAAUCUUUGACAAUGUUUAGACAUAUAAAUUUUGAAGGUCCAGCUACCCUACCAUUACCCACAAGGGUAAAGGAACAACACUACUGCUUGAUAACUGGAAAGUCCAUAUGUGUGUCAACCUCCGUGCUCCGUGGCAAGGCAGACUGGCAAAAAUGCCCAACCCUUACUCACAUCGAGAAAACACUCCCAACAGGAUUACUUGCUAAAAAAUUGAAGAGGCACCGCUCCCCAAAUCUCAAGAGCCAGACUCCCACCAGGAUUGCUUUCUCAAAAAUCGAAGAGGCACCGCUAUCCGAAUUUCGAGAGCCAAACUCCCACCAGGAUUGCUUUCUCAAAAAUCUAAGAGGCACCGCUAUCCGAAUCUCGAGAGCCAAACUCCUACCAGGAUUGCUUUCUUAAAAAUCAAAGAGGCACCGCUCUCCAAAUCUCGAGAGCCAAACUCCCACCAGGAUCGCUUUUUCAAAAAUCGAAGAGGCACCGCUCUCCGAAUCUCGAGAGCCAGACUUCCACCAGGAUUGCUUUCUAAAAAAUCGAAGAGGCACCGCUAUCCGAAUUUCGAGAGCCAGACUCUCACCAGGAUUGCUUUGUCAAAAAUCGAAGAGGCACCGCUUUCUGAAUCUCGAGAGCUAGAUCCCUAACAGGAUUGCUUGUUCGAAAACCGAAGAGGCACCGCUCUCCAAACUUCGAGAGCCAGAUUUCCUUGGAUAAAAUUUGUCUGCAAUCUUCACACGCAACAUCAGCUUUCCAGAUACCAUAGACCACUUUUUCAAAGUGCUUUGACAAAGUUAAAACACAUGAAGCUUGCAACUCCCACUACAUUGUUAUGACCAAGAAAGGUAAAGGAAUAACAUUACUACUUGUUGUUGGGGAAACUUCCAUAUAUGUCGACCUCCAUCCUCUACGGACAGGCAAACCUGCAAAAAUGCUCAACCCUUCCUCAUAUCUGAGAGGGCACUCCCAACGAAGCCUCUCGAAAUACUCAGCUUUCUUCUCUCCCCAAUAAUACCUCUGCAAACCAGCCACACCAGCGCAAGAGUAUCUCAUAUCAUCAGGGUCAAAAGCAAGAGUAUCCCAUAUCAUGGUUUUUCCCUGUCUUUUCCUUUGCCCUUGUUCUUACCUGAAAGACAAGGAGAAAGAGAGCAAUCAGUCAGCACUUGGAAUCAAGCUUCUAGUCAGGAACUGACUGCCUGGAACCCCUUGCUUGAUUACUUACCUGGCAUUGCUCUCGAGUACUCAUCUUCAACAUCUUGUGCUUCUAGAAAAUAUACCACAUCUGCCUGAAGAACAGAUAGGGCAAGUGAGAAGGAUACAAGGAAGCAUGUGAAGACAAGCGUAACAGAACACGUGCCGAUUGAUCUAUUACUUUAUCAACAACAAAAGUAUCCCAUAUCAUCAAGGUUGAAUGCACUCUUGAUUUGAUGUACUUGUUUUGACCCUCAAAUUCUUGAGUCGGCAUUAUACUUUGGAGGAAACCAUAAAACCCUCUAGCCUAGUUCAAGAAUAAGCAUGUGGAAAGUUACUUCUUCAAAAGCAAAAGUAUCUCAUAUCAUCUCUUCUCCAUGUCUUUUUCUUUGUCCUUGUUGAUGUCUACAGAACAAGGAGAAGAAGAACAAUCAGCCGGAACACGAGAUCAAUCUUUCGAUCUGACUGACUGCUUGGAACUCUGAUUGCUUACUUUGUCUGUCACCUCUUUCAGCAGAUCUCCUCGCUUAGAGACUUGGGGGACUCCUACUAUAGGGUUUGUAUUGCGCUUGACAAAGCCCGAAACUACAAGUAAGCUUCAAGUGAAUUUGAUACAUUACCUUGUGCAUCUCCAUCGGUUAAAGAUACCACCCAUAGAUGGAGGAAAAGUACUUCCAGAGAAAAUGCCACAUCUACUUAUGAGACAGAUAAGGCAAGUAAAACGAUACCACACUUCGGUACUUAGAAGUUUCGUGAUUACUCAGCGGCUUGGAUCUUGCAAGUCCUCAACCGAGGAGCUUCCCUCACUCGAGAACUUAUGGGAGCACUGCUUGUACCAUACUUGACCAAUCCAGAAACUAUCAAGCACCGGUCAAUGUUAUACCGUUAAAGACCCAUAAGAGUUUUCCUCCAACCAGGAGGCCAAUCACAGCGCAACACGUGUCAACACCAAGAGACCAAUCAUAGGGCGACACAUGUCAACAUCAAAGGCCAAUCACGGCAUGACACAUGUCAAGGCCAGAACAAAGCUAGAAACUCUCUUCUAUAAAAGGAGAUCAUUCUCCCACAAUAAUCCCUAAUGUCAUUUGUACUAAAUCAUUCACUAGUACUCACUAAAGGAGAGCUUGAACCUAUGUACUUGUAUAAACCCUUCACAAUUAAUAAGAACUCCUCUAUUUCGUGGACGUAGCCAAUCUGGGUGAACCACGUAUAUCUUGUGUUUGCUUCCAUGUCUCUAUCCAUUUACAUACUUAUCCACACUAGUGAUCGGAGCAAUCUAGCGAAGGUCACAAACUUGACACUUUCUGUUGUACCAAAGUCCUCACUGAUUUUGUGCAUCAACAACAUAAAUCUCAUAAGUUGUAUAGUGACACGUGAUGUACUACAUGAUGUACCAGUUACACUGAAAAAUCUCUCAAAUAGGACAGGUUCACCCAAUAAUUCAAACUCUAAUGUGGACAAAAUGGAUCUACGUACGCAAUGACAUAACAAAGCCAUUUUAGUCUUUGCCACUUGGCAGAACAUGAAUUUCAAAAAAAGAAACAAAUCGUUAAAUCCCAAGCCUCGAAGUAAUAUAUUGAAUCUUUCAGCUCAGUGGUUAGUAUAAACUUUCUUCAUCAAUCAUCACCAUCCAUUAUUGGAGGUUGGAGCUGCUUUGUGCAUUCUGUCAAGUCCUCAUGGAAACUAAAUCCCAUAAGCAGCUUCACAUUUUCUUUUUCUCAUAUAUGGUUCAAGGCCACUUAAUACCCCUUAUAAACAUUGCCAGACUAUUUGCUUCUCGUGGUGUAAAAUCCACCCUAAUAGCCACCCCUCUCAAUGCACAUCUCUUUUCCAAGGCAAUCCAAAGCAGCAAGAAAUUGGGCUUUGAAUGUCAUCAAGUUCUCAACUGAGGAAGUAGGGUUGCCUCAAGGAUGUAAAAAUUGUAACUUAGUUACCACCUGGGAGAUGAACAGAAAGUUCGUCAAUGCUACUUUCCUUCUUCAACCACAAAUUAAACAGAUUUUAGACAAACACCGCCCUCAUUGCCAUGUUGCAGACACGUUCUUUCCUUGGGCAACAGAUGUUGCUGCCAAGUUUGAUAUUCCCAUGAUCUUAUUUCAUGGCAUUGGUUUUUUCGCUUUGUGUGCUUCUCUUAGUGUGGUGUUGUAUGAGCUUCACGCGAAGCUGUCAUCUGAUUCAGAAGUUUUUACUAUUCCAAAUUUUCCAAUGGAGAUCAAGCUGACAAGAAGCCAAAUGCCGACUUUUCCCAAGCAAAGUUCUAAAUUCACUAUGUUGUUUAAAAAGGCGAUGGCGGGCGGGGAAACGAGCUAUGGGUUCAUUGUUAACAGCUUUUAUGAAUUUGAAUCGGCCUUUGCAGAUCAUUACAGGACAAUGAUUGGGAUGAGCAGAUGACGAAGCCUCCAUUGAUUAGCAAAAGUGCUUGAAUUGGCUUAAUUAUAAGAAACCCAAUUCAGUUGUUUACAUAUGUUUCGGAAGUACAACCAAUUUCAUUGACUUUCAGCUCCUAGAAAUUGCAGCGGGGCUUAAGGCUUCUGGGCAGGAGUUCAUUUGGGUUGUGAAGAGAGAAAAGAAUGAUAAAGAAGAGUGGCUCAUCGAAGGGUUUGAGGAGAGACUGGAAGGUAAAGGACUAAUUAUAAGAGGUUGGGCUCCGCAAGUGCCGGUUCUUGAGCACGAAGCAACCGGAGCCUUCGUGACUCACUGUGGGUGGAACUCCAUCCUUGAAGGAGUGUCUGCUGGGGUGCCAAUGAUCACAUGACCCGCAUUGGCUGAGCAGUUUUACAAUGAGAAGUUGGUGACUAAGAUAUUGAAAACUGGGGUUGCUGUUGGUGCAAAACAAUGGGGAAUGGGUACAUUUCUGGAUGUGAAGAAGGAAGCCAGUGUGAAGAGGGAAGCCAUAGAAAAGGUUGUAAAUCAAGUGAUGGUGAGUGAAGAAUGAGAGGGAAUGAGAGGCAGAGCCAGGAUGCUUAGAGAGAUGGCAAUGAGGGCUGUUGAAGAAGGUGGUUCGUUGAUGAGUAGAUUUUAUAUUAUAUAUUUUACCCUAAUCUUAGUAUAUUUUGGUUAAUAUUUUGGGAGAAUUUUGAUACUUUGAAUUGUAUUUUCAAUAUAGGACUUUCGACUUCAUCUAGAGCAAAACAGGACCAAAUGGAUGAAUUUUGGAGUAAUUCCAGUUGGAGGACAUUUGUGAGUCACUUAGCUUGAUCGUAUCAAACUUUGGGAUUUUUCUACCAAGCGGUUAUUUUCUGGCGAUAAAAUAAAGGAGCGAUGUGCAGUGCUGGAAAAUGACGUUUUUGGGCUUAAAUUGCGUUUUUGGACCCCAAGAUGACCUCGGAUGGGUUCGUGGCCUUCUGGAGAAGUGUUCAGAAUAUUCCAAACAUUAGAUCCAGCCAUAUUGGGCCAGUUUUGGAGCAGCUUAUGGGUCCAAAACGUGGCUGUUCAGAUUUUAGGCGAAUUUUACCAUUUAAUUUAGGGUUAUGUUUCCUAUUUUAUUUAAUUAUUAUUUUUAGUUUCCUAGUGGGAAUAAAGAACCUGUUUUUAGGGUUUGUGUUGGGGGGGGGGGCUUGGCAGAUUUAUUGCUUGGUUGUCUACAAUAUUUUUGUACGCUUUAUUUUAAGCAAUUUUGGAGACAGAGAAAAUUGCUAGGGUUUUGGAGAUUUUCUACUUGAAGGUGUUUUCAAUCCUUUUUCUUAAUAAUAAAUAGUUUGAAAUAGUUUGAAAUAGUUUGAGUUCAUUAUUAUAAUAAAUAGUUUGAAAUAGUUUGCGUUCAUUAUUGAAUUUGAACUUUUUUUUAACUCGCUUGAACUUGGCACGUACAAGAAGCAAGUUAAACGUAAACAUAGUGGUGCUAUUUAGUUUGAGUCGACUCAUUUACAAUUCUAUAUCCAUUUGACUUUAUCAAAUAUAGGACUAAGGCUUAUUUUAUUUAUUUAUUGUUAGUCGAUUUUCAUGUUGUAUCGUUUAAGAAUUCAAUCACUAGAGAUACAAACCUUUAAGGCCUCGUUUGACAUACCGUAUAAGGCACCAGAUGGUAUUAAUACUACGAAGUACGGUGUUUGGUAUCUGUUUGUAUUAAAUAAUCACCGGAUAAAACAAUCUGGUCCCACCAAUUUAAUACAGCCUAUACCCGCUUAGUUAUCCUCUCCUAUAUGUUGGUAUAAUUAGUCGGGCGUCCACGUUUCUCCAACCCUAUCUUCUCUAGCGCGUUGUGAACUCCUUAUCAACCACAACCAAGGUACUGCUGCUCUUUCUCCCUCCCUCCAUCCCAACCGCCAACAAAGGCUCCGGUGACAGAGGAGCCCAAGAAGGAAGAAUAGCCAGCCGAAACCCAGGACUCCAUAAGAGAUUUCAUAUCGAUUUCUUCAUUUUCUCCAAUUUUUUGCUUAUGGGUUUUUAUUGAAUUUUUGAUGUAUAUUUCAUAUAUAAAACAGUUACAAGAUCAAACAUAUAUAGAAGAAGAAACAGGAAAGAAAAUGGAGAACAAAAGGUAGAGGACAAUGGCAGCUAAGCAAGCAUAAUGAUGACCUCCACUCUCUCUAACUUAAGCCACUAACUAGCUUUACAAUGAUGAGGGAAUAUUAUCACUUAACUAUGCCUAAAGUAAACAUUAAAUAAGAUACACCAUGACUAAAACAAACAGCUAACACUAACACUAAGACUAACCGAAAGCUGCCGAAAGCUGAGCUGUUAUCCAUCAAAACUAGACAAAAGCUUGCAUUAUUCUUCCAACACUCCCUUUCAAGCUGGAUCUAGGGGAUCCCUUGAGCCAAGCUUGGACAGAAUGCACAGAAACGGAACCGUAGGAAGAGAUUUGGUAAAAAUAUCAGCCAACUGAUCAUGACUGCGAGUAUAGUAGGUGGUUAUGAUUUUGGAUUGAACCUGUGCUCGAAUAUAAUGACAAUCCACUUCAAUAUGCUUCGUUCUCUCGUGGAAGACUGGAUUGGAAGCAAUGUGCAUGGCAGCUUGAUUGUCACAGAACAUAGACAUAGGUUCAUUACUGGGAAAGCCUAGAUCCAACAGAGGCUUUUCAGCCAAAUAAGUUCACACGCAAUGGAGGCCAUAGCUCGAUACUCGGCCUCUGCACUGGAUCGAGCUCUGACAGUUUGCUUCUUGCUGCGCCAUGUUACCAAAUUGCCACUUACAAAGGUGCAAAAACCUGUUGUUGACUUGCGAUCAAGAGAAUUCCCAGCCCAAUCAGCAUUUGUAUAUCCCAUGAUGGCAGUGCUAUCAUUUUUUGUCAUAAGGAGUCCUCGACCAAUAGACCCUUUUAGAUAACGAAGAAUUCUCUUCACAAUUUGCAUAUGAGCUAAUGUAGGAGCAUGCAUAAAUUGACUCACAAUACUCACGGCAUAAGAGAUAUCAGGACGCGUGAUUGUGAGAUAAAUAAGCUUUCCUACAAGUAUUUGAUACUUAGUAAUAUUAGAGAGAGCUUCACUGUGAGCACUAAGUUGUAGCUUGCUAUCCAAAGGAGUACGUGUAGGUUUACUAUCUAUUAAGCCAGAGUCAUUUAAAAGAUCAAGAAUGUAUUUCCUUUGAUUGAGAAGAGGCUUUCCUGUGAAUUUGCAAGCUCAAUACCUAGGAAAUAUUUGAGACGUCCCAAAUCUUUGAUUGCAAAUUUGUUUUGAAGAGCGAGCUUGAGAGAGUGAAUUUCUUCAGCAUUGUCACCUGUCACAAUAAGAUCAUCACCGUAGAUUAAAACGAUUACUUUUCCAACUAAGCCAUCACGAACAAAUAGUGAGGAAUCAACACUAAUUCUUUGAAAGCCAAACUCUUUAAGAAUGGAGCUCAGUUUUGCAUACCAUGCACGUGGAGACUGUUUCAAUCCAUAAAUGGAUUUGUGCAGUUUACAAACCAUGUCAGGGUCAUCUGAUUGAGGAUGUCCGGGUGGCAGUUUCAUGUACACUUCUUCCUCUAAUUCCCCAUGCAAAAAAGCAUUCUUCACAUCCAUUUGAUAAAGAGUUCAAGACUUAUUUACGGCAACUGAUAAUAGAACCCUUAUAGUGCUCAUUUUAGCUACGGGAGCAAAUGUUUCCUUGUAAUCCAAGCCAUAAGUCUACGUAAAUCCACGAGCCACCAAACGAGCUUUAUGCCUUUCAAUCGUCCCAUCUGAGUUGAACUUAGUCUUGUACACCCAAUGGCUGCCAACUGAUUUCUUCCUUUCGAGAAGUUUAACUACACUCCAGGUUCGGUUGUCAUGAAGAGCUUGCAGUUCAUCCCUCAUCGCUUUUUGCCAAAUUUCAAGUUCAUUUGCUUCUUGAAAUGUUUGUGGUUCAUGAGUAUUGUCCAAGGUACUAAGAAAAGAAGUAUGAGAGGGGGAAAACUGCUUAUAGGAAACAAAGUUUGUAAGAAGAUACCUAAAAGUGUAGGUGACAUAAUCAUGUAUUCGAAGUGGAGGUUGUCGAACCUUAUAGGGUUUCGACGAAUUGAAACUUAAGGUUCAAUAUCUAUGGUUUGAGAUGAAGGUAGCUCAUGCAAUAGAGUUGGUGGGUUACGUGAAAUGGGACUUUCUUGAUAGAGAUGAACACUAGGUAAUGGAAACAUGUCACUUAAAAACUCCCCCUGAUCUAAAUCACUUAGUUUCUUGGAGAAGUAGGGCAUGUUUUCAUCAAAUCUCACAUCCCUUGAAACCAUUAUUUUCUUUGUGAUUGGAUUGUAACACUUGUAGCCCUUUUGGGUAGAUGAGUAACCAAAGAAAACACAUUUGGUUGCUCGAGGAUCCAGUUUGUCACGGUGGAGAGAUUGGUUGUGAACAAAGCAAGUGGACCCAAAAACUCUCAAGUGUGAGAGAUCAUUCUGUCUGUCCUUCAACACUUCAUAUGGAGAUUUGAAACUGAGUACUUUACUAGGCAAUCUAUUGAUUAGGUAGGCAACUGUAAGUACUCCUUGUGACCAAAAUUUCUUUGGCACAUUCAUAUGAAACAUGAUUGAUCUUGUCUUCUCAAGAAGGUCUCUAUUCUUUUUCUCAGCAAUCCCAUUUUGUUGGGGUGUGCUAACACAUGUUGUUUGGUGCAGUAUGCCAUGAAUACUAAGAUAUUGAGACAUGUUAUGGGACACAUAUUCAGUGCCAUUGUCGAAUCUUAAUAUAUGAAUUUUUGAUGCUAAAUGAGUACCAACUAGUUUGUGAAAAUCUUGAAAAACAUUUGAAAGUUCACUCUUAAAUUUCAAAAGAUACAACCAAGUCAUCCUUGUAAAAUCAUCAACAAAGGUUACAAAGUAUUUAUAUCCAUCAAAGGACUCUAGUAUUGGACCCCAAAUGUCUGAAUGAAUGAUUUCGAAAGGAUGGCUAGCUCUAGAAGUUGAAGAAUCAAAAGGCAACCUAGAAAACUUAGACAAGUGACAAACAUCACACUUUAACUUGUCCUUACAUAUUUUUGGAAACAAAAAAGGCAUUACUUUAUUAGAAGAAUGUGCCAAACGUUGAUGCCAAAGUUGUUGGUCUUGAAAAACACUUGAACUGACUUGAAAAAACUUGGGAUUCUUAGUGUCUUUAGCCAAGUAGUAAAGCCCAUUCAACAAGAAACCUUCACCAAUCGUUCUCUUGGUGAUAUCCUGAAAAAUGACAUUGUGAGGGGAGAAAAUGACUAGACAGUUUAGAGAAUUGGUGAUAGCUCCUACUGAUAGAAGUUGAAAAGGAAAAGAAGGUAUGUAAAGGGCUGCUGACUCUAUGUGUUUUGACAAUAAGUUGAUUUUUCCUUUUCCUACAGCUGUGGCACCCUUCCCAUUAGCUACUGACAUUUCAGAAAAAUUUGUCAUUUUUGUAAAAUCAUGUAAGUUAUUAAUUUUAUUUGUCAUGUGAUCCGUGGCUCUUGAGUCAAUGAUCCAAUAAUCAUGUUCAUUACUAGCAUUUAGGGCAGUAGAGAAUGCACUGAAAAUACCUGGGAUAUCUUUCUGUGAAACAUGGUCAUGUUUAGCCAGAAAACCAGCAAAAUUUCCAAGUAAAGUUGUGUGAUUCUUCUCUUCAGCUACGAGAGCUUCAUCUCUAUUGUUAAGCACCUGUUUGCUGUGGAGAUAUGCUACAAAAUCAUUGAUUAAUGCAGCAGAAUUGGUAGUGAAAUUCACCAUUCCUUCUGUCGACAAGGUAGUUGCAUGGUUGGCCUUGUAGCUAUUGUUGUUCAGAUAUUUUUGUGUACCCUUUAUCUCUGGACCUUUUGUCUCCUUCAAGAACUUAGGCUUCAAUUUCGGAUGAAGAAUCCAACAUCUGUCUUUAAUAUGGCCAAGAGAAUCACAGUAGCUGCACUUUAAAUCUAGUCUUUUUCCCUUGUAAACUUUGCCUUCAGGACGUUUGUUGCUAGAGACAUAAGCCCUAGUCUCAGAAACGCUGUCUUUAGUCUAUUGAUUCAUGACUUUCCUCCUUACUUCUUCCCUUUGGAUUAUGGCACACACACCAGUGAAGGAAGGGAGUUCAGCAUUCAUUAAGAUGUGACUUCUUAGGUCUUCGAACUCUGGACCUAAGCUUGCCAAGAGUUGAAAAAUCUUGUCUUCUUCUGCUCUCUUGAUCAACACAGUGGCUUCAGUGGUAUGAGGACGAUAAACAUCGAGCUCAUUCCACAUGUUUGUAAGACUGCCAAGGUGUUGAACAAAUGCUUUGCUUCCUUGUUGUAGACUUGCCAGAUUCUUCUUAAGUUGGAAGACAUGGGCAGCAUUAUUUUGAUUUCCAUACAUCUCUUUUACUUGCUUCUAGAGAUGCAUGGAUGACUCGGAAUAACUGAAAAUUUCAGCAAUCCUUCGCUCCAUUGAAUUGAGCAACCAAGACAUGACCAACUGAUCUUUGCACAGCCACGACUCGUAUGUAGAAAAAGUGACUACUGGAGCUUCAAUAGCACCAUUUACAUAGCCAAGCUUUGAUCUUCCUCCAAGUGCAAGAGAUACUGCACGACUCCAGGGAAGGUAGUUGAAUUCAUUCAACAAAACAGAACUGAGAUGUUGAUUAGGAUUGACCUCAAUGUCAGAAAAUGCUAAAGCAUCCAUCGAGCUUUCAGUUUCAGAGAGUUCUUCAGCCAUCUUGGCUUAGAGCAAAAGAAACUUAGCGGAAACGAUUACUAGAGUCAUGAAUUUAGAGUUCCUGCUCUGAUACCAUAUUGAAUUUUUAAUGUAUAUUUCAUAUAUAAAACAGUUACAAGAUCAAACAUAUAUAGAAGAAGAAACAGGAAAGAAAAUGGAGGACAAAAGGUAGAGGACAAUGGCAGCUAAGCAAGCAUAAUGAUGACCUCCACUCUCUCUAACUUAAGCCAUUAACUAGCUUUACAAUGAUGAGGGAAUAUUAUCACUUAACUAUGCCUAAAGUAAACAUUAAAUAAGAGAUGCACCAUGACUAAAACAAACAGCUAACAGUAGCACUAAGACUAGCCGAAAGCUGCCGAAAGCUGAGCUGUUAUCCAUCAAAACUAGACAAAAGCUUGCAUUAUUCUUCCAACAGUUUUCAAUUAUGGUGAAAUCUGCACAAACAAGGUUCAAAACGACCUCUUCUGAGAAUUAUUCUGUCAAUUUCUUUCCCCUUUUAUUCAUUUUCUAAUACGCAAAGGUCUUUGGGUUGGCCCUUCUCUUUCCUCAAAUCUUCACGUUCAUCUUUCUCUUCAUCCAAAGCUUUCAUCUUCAUGUCAAUGCCACAUCCCACCAUUAAAAAAUUCAAAACUUAAAAUCUUUUCCAUUUUUUUCAGUUUUAACUCUCUCAAUUCUCGUAUUUGGUUUCGCGGUUCGCGAAAUUCAAUCUGGUCCCCGACCAUUGGGGCUCCGAUAUCCGGUCGUGGCUAGAGGCGUUCGCCGCCGAGAACCUGCUGCUGGAGGAGCUCCGGCUGAAGAGGAUGACGGUGACUGAUGAGAGUCUGGAGAUGUUGGGUGUUUGUUUUGGUGGGUUCAAAGCUCUUUCGCUUGUCAGAUGUGAUGGGUUCAGUGCUGAUGGAAAUUGUUUUUCAUAAAAAUAAUAACAAUACGAUUCAUCUGGUACAAUACUAAACAUAGCAUUAAAUAGUCAAUCUUUAGUCCGAUAUUACACCAAACGUCCAACUAAUUUAAUCAGUAUUAUCCGGUGAUUAUUUAUCUUAUCCGACUGAAAUAGUUAGCACUGUCCGAGCUACCAAACGAAGCCUAAUAGAUCUUAAUCACCAAAUACCUUGAUAAAGAAUUCAAACUCUAAUGUGGACAAAAUGAUCUACGUAUGCAAUGACAUAACAAAGCCAUUUUAGUCUUCGCCACUUUGCAGAAGAUGAAUUUAAAAAAAUAAAGAAAAAUCCCUAGUCUCAAAGUAAUAUAUUGAAUCCUUCGGCUCACUGGUUAGUAUCGACUCUCUUCAUCGAUCAUCACCAUCCAUCAUUGGAGGUUGGAGCUGCUUUGUGCAUUCUGUCAAGUCCUCAUGGAAACUAAAUCCCAUAAGCAGCUUCACAUUUUCUUCUUCCCAUAUAUGGUUCAAGGCCACUUCGUACCCCUUAUAAACAUUGCCAGACUAUUUGCUUCUCGUGGUGUUAAAUCCACCCUAAUAGCCACCCCUCUCAAUGAACCUCUCUUUUCCAAGGCAAUCCAAAGCAGCAAGAAAUUAGGCUUUGAUGUUGACAUUCUUGUCAUCAAGUUCCCAGCUGAGGAAGUAGGUUUGCCUCAAGGAUGUGAAAAUGCUAGCUUAGUUACCACCACGGAGAUGAACGAAAAGUUCAUCAAAGCCACCUUCCUUCUUCAACCACAAAUUGAGCAGAUUUUAGACAAACACCGCCCUCAUUGCCUUGUUGCAGACACGUUCUUUCCUUGGGCAACGGAAGUUGCUGCCAAGUUUGAUAUUCCCAGGAUCAUAUUUCAUGGCAUGGGUUUUUUCGCUUUGUGUGCUUCUCGUAGUGUGGCGUUGUAUGAGCCUCACGCGAAGCUGUCAUCUGAUUCAGAAGUUUUUACUAUUCCUAAUUUUCCAGUUGAGAUCAAGCUGACAAGAAGCCAAAUGCCGACUGUUCCCAAGCAAAGUCCUGAAAUCACCAAGUUGCUUAAAGAGGCGAGGGAGAGCGGGGAAAAGAGCUAUGGGUUCAUUGUUAACAGCUUUUAUGAACUUGAACCGGCUUUUGCAGAUCAUUACAGGACAGUGUUUGGGAGGAAGGCAUGGCAUAUAGGCCCGGUUUCGUCAGCCAAUAAGGCAGCAGAUGACGAAGCCACCCUUCAUCAGCACGAGUGCUUGAAUUGGCUUAAUUCUAAGAAACCCAAUUCAGUUGUUUACAUAUGUUUCGGAAGUAUGACCAAUUUCAUUGACUCUCAGCUCCUAGAAAUUGCAGCGGGGCUUGAGGCUUCUGGGCAGGAAUUCAUUUGGGUUGUGAAGAGAGAAAAGAAUGAUAAAGAAGAGUGGCUCCCCGAAGGGUUUGAGGAGAGAAUGGAAGGUAAAGGACUAAUUAUAAGAGGUUGGGCUCCGCAAGUGCUGAUUCUUGAGCACGAAGCAAUCGGAGCCUUCGUGACUCACUGCGGGUGGAACUCCAUCCUUGAAGGAGUGUCUGCUGGGGUGCCAAUGAUCACAUGGCCCGCGUCGGCUGAGCAGUUUUACAAUGAGAAGUUGGUGACUGAGGUACUGAAAACUGGGGUUGCUGUUGGUGCUAAACAAUGGGGUGCAGGUACAUUUCUGGAUGUGAAGAAGGAAGCCAGUGUGAAGAGGGAAGCCAUAGAAAAGGCUGUAAAUCAAGUAAUAGCGAGUGAAGAAGCAGAGGGAAUGAAAGGCAGAGCCAGGGUGCUUAGAGAGAUGGCAAUGAGCGCUGUUGAAGAAGGUGGUUCGUCUUUCUCAGAUUUAACUUCUCUAAUUCAGGAAUUGGGGUCCCUUGGAGCAUGAACUACUUUCGACGGAUUAAAUCAUUGUAUACAAUGGAAAAUAUAAAUCUAAAUACAUAUUUUUAAGCUCAGUAGACUUGUCUCCCAAGUCACAACUACUGAUAUAUACCAACUCUAUCAACCAGUUUCUUCAGUCAAUCUUUUGCAGUGCUAUUAUUUCUCUUCUCCGUUAUUCUCCAUCUUCUACGCAAAUUACAAAUCUCUUACUACUUGAAAUGGACGAUAAAACCAACCAACCUCACAUUUUUUUCUUCCCUUGUAUGUCACACGGCCAUAUGAUACCAACCAUAGAUAUGGGCAAACUAUUUGCUUCAAGAGGCAUCAAAACAACCGUAAUUUCCACCCCUCUUAACUUAUCUCCUUCUCCAAAACCAAUGAUGACUCGUUUAUUAAUCCGCAAUCAAAAUGAGGAGAAUUCAAUUGAGGAGAAGUUCGAUUAAGAAAGAAUUAGAAUCAGAAGGUUUUUACUAAACUGGAGUUGUAGCUUAAUUUUAGUUAAAACACAUUCACCCUUGCACCUUGAGGUCCCGAAUUAUAAGUUAAAAAUGCUUCUAUUACUCAAAGAAUUUGUAGCUCAGUUUUAGUUAAACCGCAUUCACCCUUACCCCUUGAGGUGCCAAGUUCAAUGCCAAUUCACCCUCGUCCAAUAGCAGAUGGGUAAAACCCACGGAGCAUUAACGUGCAUUACUUGAGCAUGCUACUUUGCACCUUCCUAUAUCUGAUAAAUUAAAUCCCCAGGCAGCAAAACAAACAAGGUCCAAAACACCAUCCAUAGUAAAGCCAAGUAAAGGCAUCACUGCCGGCUGACGCCAGCGUGACGUCACAUAGCCCAACACAUUGCUCAACACGUUUUGGGUCGGCCUAAAAGCUGGCUUGGAUUGGGUGCUUGCCUAUUUGGAUCGGCUGGAGGGGUUUUAAGGGGUGCUAGCCUAUUUUUCCCACUUUGGACCAUCCUAUGUGCUUGGGUUGGAGUUGCUCUUAAAGUGGCAUGUUUGGAAAAAGAUUAUUACAAUGUUGAUUUUUUCUAUAUUCUAUUAUUUAAAUAUACUAUCAAGAAAAUUUUAUUUAAAAGAAAGAUCAUAUCAACAUAAUAUAAUAAAUAGUUCGAAACAGUUUGAGUUCAAUUUUUUUAAACUCGCUCGAGAUUGGCACGUACAAGAAGCAACUUAAACUUAAAUAUAGUAGUGCUAUUCGGUUUGAGUCGACUCAUUUACAAUUCUAUAUCCAUUCGACUUUAUCAAAUAUAGGACUAAGGCUUGUUUUAUUUAUUUAUUGUUAGUCGAUUUUCAUGUUGCGUCGUUUAAGAAUUCAAUCACCAGAGAUCAAUGUAUAAAAUAUCGAUGAUAUCGGAAAUAUCGGUAGUCCAAAAAUACGGAAAUUUCGAUGGAAAUAUCGGGAUAUUAUCGAUAUCGAUAAAAAUUGAAUAAAAACCACGGAAAUUGUAAGAAAAACUUGAAAAUUUUUAUUGAAACUUUGCAGGAUGUUUAUUUAGUCAAUUAUCUAUUAGUUUAACACAAAAAAUUGGAAGGAAAUACAUUACAUAAUAGAUAUAACUGAUUUAAGUUGAUUAUAUAGCGAGCUGAUAAAUAUUGUGAGUGUAGAAAAUAUGUAGUAAUUAAUGAAAGAAGUUUAAACACACCAUAAUCAUUUAUAUAUAAUGAAUUAGUACAAUAUUUUACACUUUAUACAUUGCAUGGUAAGAUACAUGAGUGACUUAGUAAGGUCUAAAAUAUCGAUGAUAUCGGAAAUAUCGGUAGUCCAAAAAAAUAUCGGUAGUCCAAAAACACGGAAAUUUCAAUGAAAAUAUCGGAAUAUUAUAGAUAUUUUAGACCAUGCUAGAGAUACAAACUUUUAAUAGAUCUUAAUCACCAAAUACCAUGGUAAUCUUCUUUUUUUAGGGAAAUAUAAGGGCUUAAAUUAAAGAGCUAGGGUGGCUACAAUACAACCCGACAAUGAGUUUACAAAGGCUUUGAGUAGUGCGAGAUAGGCUAAUCACCAGAUUGCUCUGGAAUAGAUGAAUCGACGUGUCGGUUUGGGGUAUGGUCAGUUCACUAGGAGGAUCAUCCUCCAAAUUCGAAGUUUUUUCCUGAAAAUUUCAACCUUGUUAACUAUGACAACAAUCGCGACUAUAAUCAAACUCGUGAUUAUAGGAGGGCUGCUCAUGUCACAUCACUAUUCGUGGAUUCGGGCAAUGUGACAGGUUCACCCAAUAAUUCAAACUCAAAUGUGGACAAAAUGAUCUACGUAUGCAAUGACAUAACAAAGCCAUUUUAGUCUUUGCCACUUGGCAGAACUUGAAUUUAAAAAAAAAGAAACAAAUCGUUAAAUCCCAAGUCUCAAAGUAAUAUAUUGAAUCUUUCAGCUCACUGGUUAGUAUCAACUCUCUUCAUCAAUCAUCACCAUCCAUUAUUGGAGGUUGGAGCUUUUUUUUGCAUUCUGUCUAGUCCCCAUGGAAACUAAAUCCCAUAUGCAGCUUCACAUUUUCUUCUUCCCAUAUAUGAUUCAAGGCCACUUCAUACCCCUUAUAAACAUGGCCAAACUAUUUGCUUCUCGUGGUGUAAAAUCCACCCUAAUAACCACCCCUCUCAAUGCACCUCUCUUUUCCAAGGCAAUCCAAAGCAGCAAGAAAUUGGGAUUUGAUGUUGACAUUCUUGUCAUCAAGUUCCCAACUGAGGAAGUAGGGUUGCCUCAAGGAUGUGAAAAUGCUAACUUAGCUACCACCAGGGAGAUGAACGAAAAAUUCAUCAAAGCCACCUUCCUUCUUCAACCACAAAUUGAGCAGAUUUUAUACGAACACCGCCCUCAUUGCCUUGUUGCAGACAAUUUCUUUCCUUGGGCAACAGAUGUUGCUGCCAAGUUUGGUAUUCCAAGGAUCAUAUUUCAAGGCCUCGGUUUUUUCGCUU
rnacentral:lncRNA from 1 species